AGCAGCCGCGGUAAUUCCAGCUCCAAUAGCGUAUAUUAAAGUUGUUGCAGUUAAAAAGCUCGUAGUUGAAUUUCAGGCUUGGCUGGACGGUCCGCCCUUCGGGUGAGUACUGUCUGUGGUCGGGUCCUACCUUCUGGCGAAGCGUCAUGGCCUUAACCGGCCGUGGCGGGGAACCAGGACUUUUACUGUGAAAAAUUAGAGUAGUUCAAAGCAGGCAAAUCGCUUGGAUACAUUAGCAUGGAAUAAUGGAAUAGGACAAUGGUUCUAUUUGUUGGUUUCUAGGACCGUUGUAAUGAUUAAUAGGGAUAGUUGGGGGCAUUAGUAUUCAAUUGUCAGAGGUGAAAUUCUUGGAUUUGUUGAAGGCUAACUACUGCGAAAGCAUUUGCCAAGGAUGUUUUCAUUAAUCAAGAACGAAAGUUAGGGGAUCGAAGACGAUCAGAUAACCGUCGUAGUCUUAACCAUAAACUAUGCCGACUAGGAAUCGGGCGAUGUUGAAAAAUGACGCGCUCGGCACCUCAUG
rnacentral:rRNA from 1 species